rnacentral:rRNA from 1 species
GACAGAGGGUGCAAGCGUUGUUCGGAAUCAUUGGGCGUAAAGCGCACGUAGGCGGCCUUAUAAGUCGGGUGUGAAAUCCCACAGCUCAACUGUGGAAGUGCACUCGAAACUGCAAGGCUUGAGUCUCGGAGAGGGUAGUGGAAUUCCCAGUGUAGAGGUGAAAUUCGUAGAGAUUGGGAGGAACAUCGGUGGCGAAGGCGACUACCUGGUCGAAGACUGACGCUGAGGUGCGAAAGCGUGGGGAGCAAACAGG